rnacentral:lncRNA from 1 species
UGUGCACACAACGUGCCCUGUCACUGAGCUGGGCAAUAGCAGUGCCUGGUGCAGGGAUGUCACUCAUGUUCAUUGAGUCAAUGGCACAGAAAGAAAGAAGCAGACUGGUGUAGCUCUGAUUGCAUCUGUAGGGCAGUUCCUAAGGAGCUGCAGGUGGAAGUGAUUCCCUCUACAGCUUUAGCCCCGAGCUGGGAGGCAACAGAGCUCGAUGACAGGGCAAUGGCAGCAGUGAGGAAGUUCUGUGGGCUCUGCUGAUGUAGCAGUAUGGUUUGGUGCAAGGACACCCACCGCCCUGCAAAGCCCUCACGUUCUCUCCCUGUUUCAGCCCCAGGGAAGCUGCAGUGAUGUGGACAUACCGUUCCAGGUGGGAUUAUUGUCCUCACGGUCUGGGGCUCCUGGAAUUACCUUUGCCCAAAGCAAAGCCUCCACCUGCGUGCUUGCAAGCCAUUAAUGCCUAACUAAAUGACACCGCUGGAGCCAGGAAUGAAGGUCAGCUGUGUAGAGGUGAAUGGAGCUAUUUCUCCUGUGCAGUGAUGCUGUGCCACCCGAGCUCCUGCGUAACGCUGAAGCGCAGUGAUGGGGACUGUCCCGUCCAGCAGACAGCAAUGGAUACAUAAAUAUGAGCACAGAGCUGCUGUGUUGGCUCCCCA